rnacentral:rRNA from 1 species
AACAGGAUUAGAUACCCUGGUAGUCCACGCCGUAAACGAUGUCGACUUGGAGGUUGUUCCCUUGAGGAGUGGCUUCCGGAGCUAACGCGUUAAGUCGACCGCCUGGGGAGUACGGCCGCAAGGUUAAAACUCAAAUGAAUUGACGGGGGCCCGCACAAGCGGUGGAGCAUGUGGUUUAAUUCGAUGCAACGCGAAGAACCUUACCUACUCUUGACAUCCACGGAAUUCGGCAGAGAUGCCUUAGUGCCUUCGGGAACCGUGAGACAGGUGCUGCAUGGCUGUCGUCAGCUCGUGUUGUGAAAUGUUGGGUUAAGUCCCGCAACGAGCGCAACCCUUAUCCUUUGUUGCCAGCGAUUCGGUCGGGAACUCAAAGGAGACUGCCGGUGAUAAACCGGAGGAAGGUGGGGAUGACGUCAAGUCAUCAUGGCCCUUACGAGUAGGGCUACACACGUGCUACAAUGGCGCAUACAAAGAGAAGCGACCUCGCGAGAGCAAGCGGACCUCAUAAAGUGCGUCGUAGUCCGGAUCGGAGUCUGCAACUCGACUCCGUGAAGUCGGAAUCGCUAGUAAUCGUGGAUCAGAAUGCCACGGUGAAUACGUUCCCGGGCCUUGUACACACCGCCCGUCACACAAUGGGAGUGGGUUGCAAAAGAAGUAGGUAGCUUAACCUCCGGGAGGGCGCUUACCACUUUGUGAUUCAUGACUGGGGUGAAGUCGUAACAAGGUAACC